AAAUAAUAGAAAUCACUGUUUAUUAGAUAUACCCCCAAUGAAAACGUACAUGCAUUUAAUUUAUGAAUUUUUUCAUUGGGGUAUAUCUGAAAACGGCUUGCAAAAGCUUUAGAUCCUUUUGACUGAAGCCUUUACAAGUCCCUCCCCUUCUAACCCCACCCAGACUUUCUGUGGCUGUCCAAUCACAGACUUCCCAUUGCAUCUCAAUGAGAAGUCUUUGCAAGACGGGUGCUCUGAGAAAUUACUGCCUCUGAGCUAAACAAAUCGGGAAGUAACAGGACCUGUUGUCUUUUUGAAAGCCAGGAGGAUGCAACCAGUUUAAUUUAUAAAUGUGUUGUGUAGUACUGAAAUCUGCACUUUGCAAAAUGAUAAAAGACACACUCUUCACACAUAAAGCACGUCAGCAAGCUAAAGUUCUUUAGGGGUCUGGAGUGUCCCUUUAACAAAGAACAAAGACUAACAAAUGGUUUUUAGUGAAUCAGAGUGACUAGUGAAGACUGAGUUUGGGGAUAGAGUGAGGUAGAGUGAAGUAGGGAUACUAGAAAAUACAAGUAAGGUGUGAUGGCUCAACAUGCAACAUGUACAGUCUCCAAGAGGAACAUCGACUUAGAAGGGGAGAUAGAGGUAUAGGACGGAAGAUGGACAUGGCUGAAAGGAUCAUGAAGCAGUGGUGAGAUGGAGAUAAACACACAAGGAAGGGACAUAUCAAAAAGGGUCCAAGUGACAAACAAGUCAUCAGACAGUUUAUCGGAAGAACAGGAUAAGGACAGUGCACUUCUUGAGUAUGUGGCUUUGGUCUGAAACAUGAAGACCAAUGAGACAAUGUUUUUUAAGGAAUGAAGGCCUUGUGGGAUGGGUGGCUGCAGACUUAGAACUUCUAAACAUCCAAAGAAAUAUUAAUUAUAUUUGGAAUUUGAUGACUUGUCAUCCCCUGGAGCUUUAUUGAAGGUUUACUCUGUGAGGGUUAUUAAAUUGCUUUGAAUACAAUUCAUUAACAUAUUGGAAGGAUAAGGUGAUUAGCAAGAUUUUAGUCAUCACCAGGAUCACAAAAUAAC